AUGGCGACGCAGCACAAGACGGCGUCGACGCACAGGUCGGCGAUCGUCCGUGGGGCGCACCAGCUCGACAUCGUCGGCUACAGCACGCGCCGCAAGUUCGGCGCCGACAACACCGUCAGGUCCCGCAGCUUCGACGCCGGCGGCUUCGUCUGGGCCCUCGUCUGUCGCUUCGUCGCAAACCCCGCGCAAGCGCGGGGCCUGACCCUGGCGUCCAUCUCCCUGGAGCUGUUGAGAAACCAGACUGACGAGGACGUCGUCGCCAUGGCCAGCGUCCGGAUCGACGACCCCACCGGUUGCGGCCGCUACCCCGCCGCAGAGUGGCACAGCGCCGAGCCCCACAUCUUUCCGGCCAGGUCCAGGAAGGCCGUCGCCUGGGAGCUCUCCGUCCCCGACAUGUUCCUGGAACACCAGGAACGCUACGUCAUGGACGAUUGCCUUACCAUCCACUGCACCGUGGACGUCAUCCGGGAGGAGUCUGUAGAUGGGGCCACCAGGAACUACUCAGUCGUCGUGCCUCCGCCGCCGAGCCUAUCCCAGGACAUCCAUAGGCUCCGGCAGGAGAUGUGGUGGCCGGACGUGACGUUCGUGGUCGACCAGACCAAGAUCCAAGCGCACAAGAUCGUGCUAGCCAUGCGGUCGCCGGUCUUCGCCGCCCAGUUCCACGGGGAGAUGAAGGUGAAGACCAUGCGCAGCCUACGCAUCGACGACAUGAGCGCAUCGACUUUCAAGGCCAUGCUUCACUUCGUGUACACCGACGAGCUGCCCAAACCCAAGAAAGGGGCUUGCCAUUUGGCCAUGGCGCGCGACCUUCUCGUGGUCGCAGACCUAUAUGACUUGGAGAGACUUAGGCUGAUGUGCGAGAAUAUACUGUCAAAGAGCAUCACGGUUGGCAACGUCAUGUCGACGUUGAUGCUGGUGCACAACAGGCACAGUUGCCGACAGCUCGAGGCCUCAUGUGUUGAGUUCAUAGCGUCUGACCCUGAUCUUUACGAUGCCGUGCAAGCCACCGACGAGUACAAGGAACUCGAGAAAGCGUGCCCCUCUUUUAUGUAUGAGAUCACUAAGAAAGUAGCCACACGUGCGGUGGCUCGCAACAAAUCUCCAUCUACUUCUUUCACCGGUUGUGGCACUGAUAGCAGCAGAGAGAGCGUGUCGAGGUAUAACCCAUCCACGGUGAUGAUCGGCGCACAUGAGUUCAGGAUCGAAAACUUGAAUGCAGUCAGGAAGACACAUAGUGUUGGUCAAUACAUCCAAUCUGGUAGUUUCCAAGUGGGGGGCUACAACUGGGCCAUUGAGGUGUUUCCUUCUGAGUAUGAAGAGGGCAAUACUGAGUGCAUUGGCCUUUUCGUCAAGCAGUUGAACAACGGCAAUGACGAUGACGAUGAUGAUGACAACGAUGACGAGGAUGAGGAUGACGAUGAUGGCUAUGAUGAUGAUGAUGAGGAGGAGGAGGAGGAGGACGAUGAUGACAUGGACGAGGACAGGGAUAAUGAUAAUAAUGUUGGUGCUGAUGAAAAUCACGGCAAUGGCGAUGGCGAUAAGAAUGAGGAUGAAGGUAAUGAUGGCAAAGACGUGGAAGCAUUGUUGACUUUUAAGAUCGAAGAUCCAACCGGUAAGUCGCCGGCGUACAAAAAAACCUUAACACACGUCUAUGCUGACGGGGCAGGUGAGAGCAAGGGGUAUUUAAACUUCAUCACCGCGGAAUGUGCCAAUUCACACUAUGUGGGACAUGACGGAUCUCUCACCAUCCAAUGCCGAGUUGAGGUAACCACAAGGUCCUGCACUAGCGGCACCCCAGUAGCCGGCGCUGUGAUACAUGUGCCCGUGCCACCAUUCAACUUGGCACUACACCUCGAGCAGUUGCUAGCGAGCGAGAGCGGCUGGGAUGUCAUGUUCCUCGUCGAGGACAGCGAGAUCCGCGCGCAUGGGCUUGUGGUCGCCACACGGUCACCGGCGUUACACGAGGAGGUGGAAUCGGCUACCGGCAUGGACCAUGUAAAAAUUGAUGCCAUGAGAGCCACUGUUUUCAAGGCCAUACUCCACUUCAUCUACACGGAUGAGCUACCUCGCGUCGAUGACCAUGUCCCUGCUGUCGGCGGUGAUUCCACGAUGAUGGCAGGAGAGAUGUUGGCGGCGGCGUGCCGGUUCCGACUGGAGAGGAUGAAGCGGCUGUGCGAGAACCUGUUAGCGGAGAACAUCACGCCGAAAAACGCGCUGGCCACGCUAAGAAUCGCGGGACGCCACGGUUGCACCGAGCUGGAAGGUCACUGUGUUGAAUACAUGUCCCUGCCACACAUCGCCAAGGACGUGAUGAAAUCUCUCAAGUCCGUUCUGUAA
rnacentral:rRNA from 1 species